rnacentral:rRNA from 1 species
UACGUAGGGGCCUAGCGUUGUCCGGAAUUAUUGGGCGUAAAGAGCUCGUAGGCGGUUCGGCAAGUCGGAUGUGAAAUCUCCACGCUUAACGUGGAGGGGCCAUUCGAAACUGCUGUGACUCGAGUCCGGUAGGGGAGUGUGGAAUUCCCGGUGUAGCGGUGAAAUGCGCAGAUAUCGGGAGGAACACCAGUAGCGAAGGCAGCUCGCUGGGACGGUACUGACGCUGAGGCGCGAAAGCGUGGGGAGCGAACAGG